GACGUAGGUGGCGAACGUUAUCCGGAAUUACUGGGCGUAAAGUGUGCGCAGGCGGCCGCGCAAGUCGAGUGUGAAAGCCCCGAGCUUAACUUGGGAACUGCGCUCGAAACUACGUGGCUGGAGUGUGGCAGAGGGAGGUGGAAUUCCACGUGUAGCGGUGAAAUGCGUAGAGAUGUGGAGGAACACCGAUGGCGAAGGCAGCCUCCUGGGCCAACACUGACGCUCAUGCACGAAAGCGUGGGGAGCAAACAGG
rnacentral:rRNA from 1 species